UCCCGUGUGGCUCAGUUGGUAGAGCAUGGUGUUUGCAACGCCAGGGUUGUCGGUUUGAUUCCCAAGGGGG
rfam:Salmo salar isolate Sally breed double haploid chromosome ssa13, whole genome shotgun sequence.